rnacentral:lncRNA from 1 species
GAUAAAGGAGGCCAUGACGAAUGGUUUGGAGGAAUGCCAAGAAAAGAACUUUCUGGGUUAAAGGUUGAAGACGAAAAUCUGGAAGGAAGAUAUGCACUGGAGAGCAAUGGCAAGAAAUUCAGAAAAUUUGAAAGCGUAGAAGUACAAAUGAGAGGAUUUCGGUAUUUAUAGGAUGAUGGAGGGAAGGACAAUCGUUCGAAAUUCAAAAUGAAGGGUAAAAUCGACCGAGAAAUUCGCUAAUCAUUAUGA